UGUGUCUUAGAAUGGAUGGAUUUCAGUGAAAGAAAUCCUAGAGUUAGAAAUAAGACCAAGAAGGAGUGAAGUCACUUUGGAGUGAAAAUUCAGAGCUUUUCUGGCUGGAUCAGAUAUAUCACCCUCCUGAAUCACAAGAUAACAUCUCAUAUCCCACAUCUCCUUAUCUCAUGAAUUGGAACUUAAUUCUUUCCAUGAGAGUUUUAACAGCUGCACUGCUUUGGGAGAAUUUGGCUUCAACAUUUCUUCUAGGGCAACUCUGAAUACAGCAGAUGUGAAAUUAUCAUGUUUCCAGCUCGCACCCUCAUGCUGAGAUGACCCACUCAUGAAACAACCUGAAGCCUUUUCCCCCAGUUUCAGAGAAAGAAAGAGACCCACCAUUUGAGCAUAGCGGUGAACUGAAGGAGAGUGCAAUGACACAACCACCACCAAGGAAUGCAGUGGAUACUGAUUAUAAAGGAUUUGGACAACUGUAAGGAAAACUGGAAAACAAUAUGGGGUCCAAUAAAUUUAAGAGAAAUAAGAAUUCUCAGCUGCAAACAGAGGAUGCUUUUUGCAAUUGUGUCAAAAAGAACAAUUAUAAAACAUAAAUCUAAGAUAAUAUUUGAAAACUCUAUAUAAAAUGAUAUUUUUGAGAAAAAUGAAAAAGACUUUAACAAAAGAAAAUAUAUGCCAUAUUCUGGGAUUAGAAGACUUAAUAUUGUGCAGAUGUCAAUUCCCUCUAAACUGAUCUAUAAAGCCAAUGCACUUCCAGCAAAUUUCUGUGAUGAAUAUUAUGUGAUGAUGUGAUUCCAGAAUUUAGACAGUAAAAAGUGAAAUACAGAAUACCGUAGGAGAGCAAAGGAAAGGCUGAUGCCUUGGAAAAAUCUGGAAGGAAUUCACAGAGGAAGCUCAGCUGUUGCAGAGAAGUAAUGAUUCACACGAAAAUUUAAAAUGGAAAGAUUGUCCUCUCCAAUCGGCCCCACUUCAUAAUUCCCAACUCAACAAAGAUUGCAUUUUAGAAACAUGCAACUGUGCAGAUGUUUAAAAUGAAGGCCAUAAGCUCUAAAAUCAUUGCCAUUUUAUUUAAAUAUCAAACAGCUCAAAAUUUGUCUGUGACAAAAAUAAUUUAAAUGUUUUGGUAAAAAUAUAAAAUAUUAAGCAUUCGGUUUUCCACUUUUGGAAACUGAGAGAGAAGUUAUGGAAGCUGAAUAUUGGUCAUGAAAGAGACUGUCAUAUAAAAGAUAUGUUAUACCCAUCUCUAAGACUUUUAGAUAUUGUAGUAGAAUUAAUGAAAAUUAUUCCAGAGCAGAGAAUAUACAGUACAGUGUCAGUAAUUAUGCAUGCUGCUACUUCAGUAUACUACUUAUCCAUUCCCCUGUUGAAAAUACUUCAGUAUUUUACUUAUCCAUUCCCCUGUUGAAGAACAAAAUAAACAGGUUAUAUUUUUGUAAAGACAUAUUGGAUAUAGUAGAAGAAAAGAGACAGAUAGCAGAGAAGGAUAUUCAUGAACAUGGAUCAACAGGCAGAUCCAGUUCAUACAUGGGAAAACACCAUCAAGUUGUGGCCAGAUUACCAAAAAAUAAAAUAAAAUUGCCAAAAAAAGUACGACUCGUGAAGUUGUGAUUCUCAAAAUGUUUCAUUCUAUCUAUUUCUGUAGAGAAACAACAAAUUAAUUGGUUUUAAAAAAAGAAAUGGACUCUAUAGUUUAAGCAGUUUCAGGUUCACAGCAAACUUGAACAGAAAGUACAGAGGAUCCCCAUGUACACCCUUCACACCCAUAGUCAACCUGCCCAACCAUCAACAUCCCAU
rnacentral:lncRNA from 10 species